GACGUAGGGCGCGAGCGUUGUCCGGAUUUAUUGGGCGUAAAGAGCUCGUAGGCGGCUCAUUGCGUCAACCGUGAAAACCAGCAGCUCAACUGUUGGCUUGCGGUUGAUACGGGCAGGCUUGAGUUCGGUAGGGGAGACUGGAAUUCCUGGUGUAGCGGUGAAAUGCGCAGAUAUCAGGAGGAACACCGGUGGCGAAGGCGGGUCUCUGGGCCGAUACUGACGCUGAGGAGCGAAAGCGUGGGGAGCGAACAGG
rnacentral:rRNA from 1 species